GCGCUCUUAGUUCAGUUGGUAGAACGUAGGUUUCCAAAACCUGAUGUCAAAGGUUCAAGUCCUUUAGAGCGUG
rnacentral:tRNA from 1 species